GGGCUGUAGCAGGUCCCAAGGGUUGGGCUGUUCGCCCAUUAAAGCGGUACGCGAGCUGGGUUCAGAACGUCGUGAGACAGUUCGGUCCCUAUCCGGCGUGGGCGCAGGAUAUUUGAGAGGAGCUGACCUUAGUACGAGAGGACCGGGUUGGACGGACCGCUGGUGUACCGGUUGUACUGCCAAGUGCAUAGCCGGGUAGCCAAGUCUGGAAGGGAUAAACGCUGAAGGCAUCUAAGCGUGAAGCCCCCCUCAAGAUAAGAUAUCCCAUAGCGAAGGCUAGUAAGACCCCUUGAAGACGACAAGGUGGAUAGGCCGGAGGUGGAAGUGCGGUAACGUAUGGAGCUGACCGGUACUAAUAGGUCGAGGUCUUGACCAG
rnacentral:rRNA from 1 species